ensembl:snoRNA LOC120096411 small nucleolar RNA SNORA17
CCUGCCUCUACAGGCAAGGUAAGUGUGGCAGUUGAAUCAUAUGUGCAUUAGUAGGUGGCAUAGAGAAGAGGUGAUAUGUUCAUGCCCAGUAUUAUACCUGUGGGAAUAUGAAUGAUUAAUAACCUAACAUU